UGAGCAAUCUGCCCUUCUCUUUGGAAUAAGCGUUGGAAACGACGUCUAAUGCCGAAUACGACCUCCUUUCGCAUGAUCGGAGGUGGAAAGCUCCGGCGGAGAAGGAUGAGCUCGCGGCCUAUCAGCUAGUUGGUGUGGGUAAUGGCCCACCAAGGCGACGACGGGUAGCCGGCCUGAGAGGGUGACCCGCCACACUGGGACUGAGACACGGCCCAGACCUCCGUACGGGAGGNAGCG
rnacentral:rRNA from 1 species